AUACGGAGGGGGCAAGCGUUAUUCGGAUUUACUGGGCGUAAAGCGCACGUAGGUGGCAUGGUAAGUCACAGGUGAAAGCCCUCGGCUCAACCGAGGAACUGCCUUUGAAACUGCUUUGCUUGAGUCCGGGAGGGGGGAGCGGAAUUCCCAGUGUAGCGGUGAAAUGCGUAGAUACUGGGAGGAACACCGGUGGCGAAGGCGGCUCCCUGGACCGGUACUGACACUGAGGUGCGAAAGCGUGGGUAGCAAACAGGAUUAGAUACCCUGGUAGUCCACGCCGUAAACGAUGGGCACUAGGUGCAGCGGGUGUCGACCCCUGCUGUGCCGUAGUUAACGCAUUAAGUGCCCCGCCUGGGGAGUACGGUCGCAAGGCUGAA
rnacentral:rRNA from 1 species